rnacentral:rRNA from 1 species
AAGCGUUGUUCGGAAUUAUUGGGCGUAAAGCGCGUGUAGGCGGUUUGUUAAGUCUGAUGUGAAAGCCCCGGGCUCAACCUGGGAAGUGCAUUGGAUACUGGCAGACUUGAAUACGGGAGAGGGUAGUGGAAUUCCUGGUGUAGGAGUGAAAUCCGUAGAUAUCAGGAGGAACACCGGUGGCGAAGGCGGCUGCCUGGACCGAUAUUGACGCUGAGACGCGAAAGCGUGGGGAGCAAACAGGAUUAGAUACCCUGGUAGUCCACGCCGUAAACGAUGAGUACUAGGUGUUGCGGGUAUUGACCCCUGCAGUGCC